UGCAGUCGCACGAGAACGGUCUGGCUUUGCCAGAACUAGUACAGUGGCGGACGGGUGCGUAACGCGUAGAUAACCUGCCUUCAGGCGCGGGAUAACCUCGGGAAACCGUGGCUAAUACCGCACGACGUCUAACCCCCGCAUGGGGGAUAGAUGAAAGCCUUCGGGUGCCUGAAGAUGGGUCUGCGUCGGAUUAGCUCGUUGGUGAGGUAACGGCUCACCAAGGUAACGAUCCGUAGCUGGUCUGAGAGGAUGAUCAGUCACACUGGGACUGAGACACGGCCCAGACUCCUACGGGAGGCAGCAGUGGGGAAUCUUGCACAAUGGGGGAAACCCUGAUGCAGCCAUGCCGCGUGGAGGAAGACACCCCUAUGGGGCGUAAACUCCUUUUCUGGGGGAAGAAACCUCUGUUUUUCAGAGUGUGACGGUACCCCAGGAAUAAGCACCGGCUAACUCCGUGCCAGCAGCCGCGGUAAUACGGAGGGUGCAAGCGUUGUCCGGAAUCACUGGGCGUAAAGGGUGCGCAGGCGGGGCAGCAAGUCGAUGGUGAAAUCCUGCGGCUUAACCGCAGAAGUGCCUUCGAAACUGUUGCUCUUGAGUCCCGGAGAGGCUGCCGGAAUUCGUGGUGUAGCGGUGAAAUGCGUAGAUGUCACGAGGAACACCAGAGGCGAAAGCGGGCAGCUGGACGGGUACUGACGCUGAGGCACGAAAGCGUGGGGAGCAAACAGGAUU
rnacentral:rRNA from 1 species